AAAGGCAUAUCAUUGGACAUGUCUACUGCCAAAGAGCUAAAUUUAAAACCUACAGCCUUUGAGAAAAUGUAUAAUCUUAAGUUUCUCAAGUUCUAUGCUUCACUCAGUAAAAUCAAAGUAUACCUUCCUAAAGGCCUCAAUUUUCUGCCAGAAGGGGUAAGGUUACUCCACUGGUAUCAAUUCCCUUUAAAAUCUUUGCCACUGGGUUCUUAUGUAGAGAAUCUGGUCGAACUUCGCAUGCGGGAAAGCAAACUAAAAGAACUUUGCAGUGGAGUUCAGCAACUGGGAAAUUUGAAAUUCGUCGAUCUCAGUAACUAGGAGCUAAUAAGAAUUUCAGACUUGUCUAGAGCCUGUAAACUUGAGGUUUUAGAUCUGAAUUACUGUGAAAGUUUGGUUGAGUUUCCCUCUCCAAAAUAUUUGAGCAAGCUUACUCGAUUGCAUCUAAUGAAUUGCAAUAGUCUUUGCACUUUACCAACCCUCCUUGAUUUGAAAAGUCUCAAGGAAUUUAGGGCCUCUGAAUGCUUAAAACUUGCAGAGUUUCCAGAGUUCCCGUGUAACAUAGAGGUGCUAGUUUUGGAACGAACUAGAAUAGAAAAGGUGCCCUCAUCAAUUGGGUCCCUCUCUCGUCUUUCCUUAGUGUCCUUGAAUGAUUCUACAAUGCUUGAAAGUCUUUGCAAUCUGAAGUCUCUAAUGUACUUUUAUCUCGGCGGAUGUGUAAAUCUAAAGAGAUUGCCAGAAAACAUAGGGAAUUUGGAAUCUCUAACAGAGCUUGGUCUUGAUGGUCAAAGGACUACCGUCUUCUGUCAAUCUGUCGAGACAAUUGUGGUUCAUAGAGCUAGAAUCUUGUGGCCUAUCAGAAUUUCCUAGCUGUCUUUGCCGUUCAGAUUCAUCACUGGAAUAUUUACUGAUAGGUGGGAAUAAUUUCGAGAGCAUAUCUGAUUGCAUCAAACAACUAUCUAAGCUGAGUGUAUUGUCUUUUAGACAAUGUGAGAGACUAAAAUAUUUACCGACUAAGCUGUAAGGCGACUUUUUAUUUAUUUAUUUUUUAUGCUAUAGCUUAACUAAAAUUCCAGUUGAAUCACCCA